UCGAAGCGGCUGACCACGGCCUGGACCCAUUCCACCGGCCUGUGCGCGGCCAUGUCCUCCCCGCGGCCGGGGGGCGGCGGAGGGAAGGGUGGGCCGGCGCCCUGGGCCGCGAAGAGGGCGGGGAGCGGAGGCUGAGAGACAAGGUCUGACUCUGUGCAGUGGAGUGCAGCGGCUCAGUCAUAGCUCACUCCAGCAUCAGACUCCUGGGCUGAAGUGAUCCUCCCACCUCAAACUCCUGAAUAGCUGGGACUAUAGCUGGGCAUGGUGGCAUGUGCCUGUGGUUCCAGUUACUUGGGAAGCUGAAGUGGGAGGAUCGCUUGAGCCCAGGAGGUCAAGGCUACAGUGAGCUGUGAUGGUGUCAUUGCAUUCCAGCACUCCAGCCCGGGCAUCACAGUUAGACCUUGUCUUAAAAAAUAAAUAAAUGAAUAAAUAUAAAUAAAAAAUAAAAAGCUUUUA